UGCGAAGGGGGCUAGCGUUGCUCGGAAUCACUGGGCGUAAAGCGCACGUAGGCGGAUUGCUAAGUCAGGGGUGAAAUCCUGGAGCUCAACUCCAGAACUGCCUUUGAUACUGGCGAUCUCGAGUCCGGGAGAGGUGAGUGGAACUGCGAGUGUAGAGGUGAAAUUCGUAGAUAUUCGCAAGAACACCAGUGGCGAAGGCGGCUCACUGGCCCGGUACUGACGCUGAGGUGCGAAAGCGUGGGGAGCAAACAGG
rnacentral:rRNA from 1 species